AUUGAACGCUGGCGGCAUGCCUUACACUUGCAAGUCGAACGGCAGCACGGAGCUUGCUCUGGUGGCGAGUGGCGAACGGGUGAGUAAUAUAUCGGAACGUACCCUAGAGUGGGGGAUAACGUAGCGAAAGUUACGCUAAUACCGCAUACGAUCUAAGGAUGAAAGUGGGGGAUCGCAAGACCUCAUGCUCGUGGAGCGGCCGAUAUCUGAUUAGCUAGUUGGUAGGGUAAAAGCCUACCAAGGCAUCGAUCAGUAGCUGGUCUGAGAGGACGACCAGCCACACUGGAACUGAGACACGGUCCAGACUCCUACAGGAGGCAGCAGUGGGGAAUUUUGGACAAUGGGCGAAAGCCUGAUCCAGCAAUGCCGCGUGAGUGAAGAAGGCCUUCGGGUUGUAAAGCUCUUUUGUCAGGGAAGAAACGGUGAGAGCUAAUAUCUCUUGCUAAUGACGGUACCUGAAGAAUAAGCACCGGCUAACUACGUGCCAGCAGCCGCGGUAAUACGUAGGGUGCAAGCGUUAAUCGGAAUUACUGGGCGUAAAGCGUGCGCAGGCGGUUUUGUAAGUCUGAUGUGAAAUCCCCGGGCUCAACCUGGGAAUUGCAUUGGAGACUGCAAGGCUAGAAUCUGGCAGAGGGGGGUAGAAUUCCACGUGUAGCAGUGAAAUGCGUAGAUAUGUGGAGGAACACCGAUGGGGAAGGCAGCCCCCUGGGUCAAGAUUGACGCUCAUGCACGAAAGCGUGGGGAGCAAACAGGAUUAGAUACCCUGUUAGUCCACGCCCUAAACGAUGUCUACUAGUUGUCGGGUCUUAAUUGACUUGGUAACGCAGCUAACGCGUGAAGUAGACCGCCUGGGGAGUACGGUCGCAAGAUUAAAACUCAAAGGAAUUGACGGGGACCCGCACAAGCGGUGGAUGAUGUGGAUUAAUUCGAUGCAACGCGAAAAACCUUACCUACCCUUGACAUGGCUGGAAUCCCCGAGAGAUCAGGGAGUGCUCGAAAGGGAACCAGUACACAGGUGCUGCAUGGCUGUCGUCAGCUCGUGUCGUGAGAUGUUGGGUUAAGUCCCGCAACGAGCGCAACCCUUGUCAUUAGUUGCUACGAAAGGGCACUCUAAUGAGACUGCCGGUGACAAACCGGAGGAAGGUGGGGAUGACGUCAAGUCCUCAUGGCCCUUAUGGGUAGGGCUUCACACGUCAUACAAUGGUACAUACAGAGCGCCGCCAACCCGCGAGGGGGAGCUAAUCGCAGAAAGUGUAUCGUAGUCCGGAUUGUAGUAUGCAACUCGACUGCAUGAAGUUGGAAUCGCUAGUAAUCGCGGAUCAGCAUGUCGCGGUGAAUACGUUAAAAGGUCU
rnacentral:rRNA from 1 species